rnacentral:rRNA from 1 species
CCUGACUGCUAUCGGAUUGAUACUAAGCCAUGCGAGUCAUUGUAGCAAUACAAGGCAUACGGCUCAGUAACGCGUAGUCAACCUAACCUAUGGACGGGAAUAACCUCGGGAAACUGAGAAUAAUGCCCGAUAGAACACUAUACCUGGAAUGGUUUGUGUUCCAAAUGAUUUAUCGCCAUAGGAUGGGACUGCGGCCUAUCAGUUUGUUGGUGAGGKAAUGGCCCACCAAGACUAUUACAGGUACGGGCUCUGAGAGGAGUAGCCCGGAGAUGGGUACUGAGACACGGACCCAGGCCCUAUGGGGCGCAGCAGGCGAGAAAACUUUGCAAUGUGCGAAAGCACGACAAGGUUAAUCCGAGUGAUUUGUGCUAAACGAAUCUUUUGUUAGUCCUAGAAACACUAACGAAUAAGGGGUGGGCAAGUUCUGGUGUCAGCCGCCGCGGUAAAACCAGCACCUCAAGUGGUCAGGAUGAUUAUUGGGCCUAAAGCAUCCGUAGCCGGCUCUGUAAGUUUUCGGUUAAAUCUGUACGCUUAACGUACAGGCUGCCGGGAAUACUGCAGAGCUAGGGAGUGGGAGAGGUAGACGGUACUCGGUAGGAAGUGGUAAAAUGCUUUGAUCUAUCGAUGACCACCUGUGGCGAAGGCGGUCUACCAGAACACGUCCGACGGUGAGGGAUGAAAGCUGGGGGAGCAAACCGGAUUAGAUACCCGGGUAGUCCCAGCUGUAAACUAUGCAAACUCAGUGAUGCAUUGGCUUGUGGCCAAUGCAGUGCUGCAGGGAAGCCGUUAAGUUUGCCGCCUGGGAAGUACGUACGCAAGUAUGAAACUUAAAGGAAUUGGCGGGGGAGCACCACAAGGGGUGAAGCCUGCGGUUC